ACCAGGUAGCACUCCUCUUUGCUGCCGACACCGUAUGAGCACAGGACGGUUACCCGCCCUCGAGCCAACACGGGGCACGUCAGGCUUCCGUAAGGGACUAUUAUUUCGGGCAACAUGGGGACAAGGACCCCUUCCGAUCAUGUUUCUCCAUACAAGACUUCAAGCGACACUUGGGUGCCCGAUGCUCGCUUGCUAAAGUAGCAAAGCUAGGACGAACACCCAAGGAAACUUCACCGUCUACUUUGCACAAAACACUUGGCACAAGCUAGAGUAGGGGCUUUCGAACUGGAAGAUACCGUCAAAAUAGGUAUGCUACACAGGGGGCCUGGCCAACCCAAGGCAAAUGUUUAAGCACUCGGGUAGCAUUGAACAGGUGCAAACCAGCGAUUGUCGCUGCCAAGGCAGGGAACCAACCAACCGGAACAUACC
rnacentral:misc_RNA from 1 species